GAUGGACGCUGGCGGCGUGCCUAAUACAUGCAAGUCGAGCGAACGGACGAGAAGCUUGCUUCUCUGAUGUUAGCGGCGGACGGGUGAGUAACACGUGGAUAACCUACCUAUAAGACUGGGAUAACUUCGGGAAACCGGAGCUAAUACCGGAUAAUAUUUUGAACCGCAUGGUUCAAAAGUGAAAGACGGUCUUGCUGUCACUUAUAGAUGGAUCCGCGCUGCAUUAGCUAGUUGGUAAGGUAACGGCUUACCAAGGCAACGAUGCAUAGCCGACCUGAGAGGGUGGUCGGCCACACUGGAACUGAGACACGGUCCAGACUCCUACGGGAGGCAGCAGUAGGGAAUCUUCCGCAAUGGGCGAAAGCCUGACGGAGCAACGCCGCGUGAGUGAUGAAGGUCUUCGGAUCGUAAAACUCUGUUAUUAGGGAAGAACAUAUGUGUAAGUAACUGUGCACAUCUUGACGGUACCUAAUCAGAAAGCCACGGCUAACUACGUG
rnacentral:rRNA from 1 species